CGGGGAUUAGUUCAGUUGGCUAGAACGCACGGCUGGGGGUCGUGAGGUCAGAGGUUCAAGUCCUCUAUCCCCGACUA
rnacentral:tRNA from 1 species